rnacentral:lncRNA from 1 species
GUGGUGAGCCCGUCCAGGCGCCGUGGCCACCCGGCCGUGCUCUGCUUCCCCAGACCAGGCGCCCCAGUUUGCAGAGAAAGAAAUGGAGGCUCAGGAGGGUCCCGGAGUUAGAGCUGGAUAAGGGAGACCCCGUGCUGUUCUCUCCCCUCGCUACCACUGCCCCCAGGCUGCUGCGCCCGGCAGGCCCUGGACGUGGAGUGAGCUGGCCCCUCAGACAGAAAAGGGGUCAGCAGGAACCUGUUUUAAAACAGGAAGGAGCUGGGUGUGGGCGGUGGGGGCCCUCGCUAUCCACACCUGCUCCCCGGGCCCACCUAGUGCAGGGCUCCCACCAGCCUCGGCCCCUGGCCAUGCAGUCAUGGCCUGGGGGCGAGGAGGGCGCCUGCCACACAGGACCUGUCCCUCCAGCUGUCUGUCUUGGAGGCUGGCUGCUGCUGAUUCUCAGCAUCCCCCGGUUCCCAUUCUCUCAGCCCAAAUUCACCGGCCAAGCCUGGACGAUUUGGCCUCCCCACGCUGCUCCCUGCCCUAGGCCGGGCCCCCUCCCUCCUCCUCGCUGACACACAGUCACACUGAGUCACAUCGGUCACCCCUGUGUUUUACUCCUGUGGUGGCUCCUAGGGACAUUCAGCAGCACCCAGCCUUCUCCACGUGCCUGUGUGAGUCUGUGGCCUGUCCCUGGAGCCACCCCCUCCCACAGCCCCAGCCACAGGGCUGCUUCCAGAAGGUUCCACGGUGGUGCCAGGGGCUCCCGCCCACCCCGUGCCUCCUCCAGGGCCGUCUUCGUAGCUGCUCACGAUUCAGCAUCUGUGAAACGGGCCUUCGUUAGUGGGACCCCCAGACUGUGAGCUCGGGGACAGCAGGGCCUCCCUGGCUGUGCCACACUUGACACCAAGCCCCUGGUGACAGCUGGGCACCCGACAGACGCGGGGCCGAGGUCUGUGGUUCACACAGAUGAGGGAACAGGUGGAAGGGCUGGCGGUGGGGACAGAGGGCGCCAACCAUCCCCUGAGCCCAGCCUUCCGACCCUCCUGCCGGGCAGCCUUGGGCAGGGCCACCUGGAUGUGCCUGCCCAGUCGAGUCCCCACGGGACGGCAGCCCCAGCCACCACACUGUGGACGAGAAGGGCCCAGCCCAGCCACCCCAGAAUGCCCCGAGAGAGGGCGUGGCUGCGGUGGAGGGCCAUUAGGUUUGGUGCCCAGAGAGAUGCCAACCACAGACCUUUCUGGGCUUUUGCCAUCGACUCUUUGGUCUCUGUCCUGUGCGUUCUCCCUCCAAAUCCCCCACCCCAACAUCUGGCUCCCUCCAGGCCUCCUGGGGUGUGGGGGGCAGGGCAGGCGGGGCCCUGGGAUGAGGGAGGCCAUCAGGACGUCUCUAGGAGACCUCUGGGGGGACCUCAAGGAAGGCGAAUCGAGCAGCUACCCAGGUGAUCCAAAACUCCAUUCAGUUCCCACGGGCACUGGGUUCUGCACCCCAAGCUGUGUCCAGGGUGGGAAGUGCAGAGCGGGAGGAAGGGCCCUCUGACCACUCAGGGUUGAGGGGCCAGGGGAGGAGACAGACCAUGAAUAACCCCUGAUCUCUGUCUCACAGACUCAUCUUGGGUUCAGAAUGAAGAGCCUCUGGUCUCAGGGGACCGUGGUAGAGAUGUUCCCAACCCUGUCUCUGCAGGAAACAGAAACAGAAACACCCAUCUUCAAAGAAACCCACAGACACCGUGACCCCAACCACAGCUGGGAGUGGCCUGAGCAGAUGUUGGUGGUGAAUGAGGCACCAGAGCCCAGAAAGGCGAACCUGUGCCCCUGUGAUGCCCAGGAGGGGGUUUGGAGACCGAAGUGAUGCCAGCCAAAGCCGCCAGUCUCACAGAAGCCUCAGGGGGAGCAGGAUCAGAGGACUGGACACCACAGACGGAGGGGCAGGAGGCCAGAGCCAGCGGGGCUGCCAGUGUGACAGUCAGGCUCCCAGGGAAUGCCCCUGCCCUGUGCAGCCGGGCUGUCACCUGUCCCUCACCCAGAGAGCUCUGGACGGGGCACCUGCCAUGGACAGGUGGGGUGAGGGCCAGACUGACCUUUGUACAUCUGGAAGAUUCAACUCCCUUUAGUACCCACCCCCCCGCUGCCCGCUCCCCUAAAGCUAGGCUUGGCCAUGAGACUUGCUUGGCCACAGGGACACUGGCCUCUGAUGGUGCCCGGACCCUUGGGCCUGCCAAAAUAAGAGCGCACUGCGCGAGGACCCACUGGUGCCGAGAGUGCGAGAGAAGCCCAGGGCAGAGCCGCUCUGCUGACCGGCUGUAACCUGGUGUGCAGAUGACUUGACGGGCAGGUGCCCAGCUGGUCACCCCAUCCCAGCUGACCUGAAGGUGUGAGUGAAAUAAACAUCGACUGCUGUUGCCCUUGAGAUGCCGUGAGGUUUGUUACGCAGCAGUACCUGCCCCAUGCAGGGGGAUCAGGGGACAGUUAGAUUCUGAACCGGAUGUUUCCAGCCCAGUUCAGGGGUACCAGUGCCCAGGAGCACACUCGGCCCAGACGGAAACUGGGGACCUGGGCACCC